AACGAACGCUGGCGGCAGGCCUAACACAUGCAAGUCGAGCGAAGCCUUCGGGCUUAGCGGCGGACGGGUGAGUAACGCGUGGGAACGUGCCCUUUGGUACGGAAUAGCCCCGGGAAACUGGGAGUAAUACCGUAUGUGGUCGAGAGACGAAAGAUUUAUCGCCAAAGGAUCGGACCGCGUUGGAUUAGGUAGUUGGUGGGGUAAUGGCCUACCAAGCCGACGAUCCAUAGCUGGUUUGAGAGAAUGAUCAGCCACACUGGGACUGAGACACGGCCCAGACUCCUACGGGAGGCAGCAGUGGUGAAUCUUAGACAAUGGGGGAAACCCUGAUCUGGCCAUGCCAAGUGAUCGAUGAAGGCCUUAGGGUUGUAAAGAUCUUUAAGUGGGGAAGAUAAUGACUGUACCCACAGAAGAAGCCCCGGCUAACUCCGUGCCAGCCGCCGCGGUAAAAC
rnacentral:rRNA from 1 species